rnacentral:rRNA from 1 species
UGCUAGUCGCACGAGUUUAGACUCGUGGCAUAUAGCUCAGUAACACGUGGCCAAACUACCCUCUGGAGGAGGAUACUCUCGGGAAACUGAGGCUAAUCCUCUAUACCGCAUCCCAACUGGAAAUUGGUGGGAUGCUGGAAACGCCCUUUCGGGUGCCAGAGGAUGUGGCUGCGGUCGAUUAGGUAGACGGUAGGGUAACGGCCUACCGUGCCGAUAAUCGGUACGGGUUGUGAGAGCAAGAGCCCGGAGACGGAUUCUGAGACAAGAAUCCGGGCCCUACGGGGCGCAGCAGGCGCGAAACCUUUACACUGUACGGAAGUGCGAUAAGGGAACUCCCAGUGCGAGGGCAUAGAGCCCUCGCUUUUCUGGACCGUAGGGAGGUCCAGGAAUAAGGGCUGGGCAAGGCCGGUGCCAGCCGCCGCGGUAAUACCGGCAGCCCGAGUGAUGGCCGAUUUUAUUGGGCCUAAGGCGUCCGUAGCUGGCCAGGCAAGUCCGUUGGGAAAUCCGCGCGCUUAACGUGCGGGCGUCCAGCGGAAACUGCGUGGCUUGGGACCGGAAGACCCGAGGAGUACGUCCGGGGUAGGAGUGAAAUCCUGUAAUCCUGGACGGAC